rnacentral:snRNA from 1 species
GGAUGUGAGGUUGAUCUGCCUGCAACAUCUGUCACCCCAUUGAUUGCCAGCAUUGAUCCGGCUGAUCUGGCUGGCUAGGCUGGUGUCCCCAUGUUCCCUCACGGCUCCAUGUGUGUCCCUCCUGAAGCUGCGCGAUCGGUCGAAGAGGAUGUCCUUGCCCGAAUAGAGACAGACCGGUCUUCGGUCAAGGGUAUAUGAGUAGCUGCGCUCCCCUGACGAACCUCCAAACAAGCUCUCAAGAACAGCACCUCUCCCUGGGUACUGGAAAUGACUGUUUCCCUGCCAGCUCGGGUGGCAGAACUACAUGCAACUGACAGUGU